rnacentral:SRP_RNA from 1 species
AAUCUGUCAUGGAUAACCUAGUGGGAGGCCUACCGCCAAGUCAGUGACCUUGCUUCGGUCAUGUGCCAGCGGGCUCGUGUGCCCGAUACGAACCUUGGGGUCGCCGUUACACUCGUGCGAGUAAUCCACGACGCUGUGGGGCGCUAAGUAAUGGAAGUGAACCUUGAGGGAAGCAAUUCUGCAGAGACACUUCCACCCUGGGGUGGCGUCGCCGGAAGACACCGACCCGUUACAGGGAAAUUGGCUGCUUGGUAGGACAACCGUUGCUU